GAACCCUGGCGGCGUGCUUAACACAUGCAAGUCGAACGGUGAAGCCCAGCUUGCUGGGUGGAUCAGUGGCGAACGGGUGAGUAACACGUGAGCAAUCUGCCCCUGACUCUGGGAUAAGCGCUGGAAACGGCGUCUAAUACUGGAUAUGAACCGUGGAGGCAUCUUCAACGGUUGGAAAGAUUUUUUGGUCAGGGAUGAGCUCGCGGCCUAUCAGCUUGUUGGUGAGGUAAUGGCUCACCAAGGCGUCGACGGGUAGCCGGCCUGAGAGGGUGACCGGCCACACUGGGACUGAGACACGGCCCAGACUCCUACGGGAGGCAGCAGUGGGGAAUAUUGCACAAUGGGCGCAAGCCUGAUGCAGCAACGCCGCGUGAGGGAUGACGGCCUUCGGGUUGUAAACCUCUUUUAGCAGGGAAGAAGCGAAAGUGACGGUACCUGCAGAAAAAGCGCCGGCUAACUACGUGCCAGCAGCCGCGGUAAUACGUAGGGCGCAAGCGUUAUCCGGAAUUAUUGGGCGUAAAGAGCUCGUAGGCGGUUUGUCGCGUCUGCUGUGAAAUCCCGAGGCUCAACCUCGGGUCUGCAGUGGGUACGGGCAGACUAGAGUGCGGUAGGGGAGAUUGGAAUUCCUGGUGUAGCGGUGGAAUGCGCAGAUAUCAGGAGGAACACCGAUGGCGAAGGCAGAUCUCUGGGCCGUAACUGACGCUGAGGAGCGAAAGGGUGGGGAGCAAACAGGCUUAGAUACCCUGGUAGUCCACCCCGUAAACGUUGGGAACUAGUUGUGGGGUCCAUUCCACGGAUUCCGUGACGCAGCUAACGCAUUAAGUUCCCCGCCUGGGGAGUACGGCCGCAAGGCUAAAACUCAAAGGAAUUGACGGGGACCCGCACAAGCGGCGGAGCAUGCGGAUUAAUUCGAUGCAACGCGAAGAACCUUACCAAGGCUUGACAUAUACGAGAACGCUGCAGAAAUGUAGAACUCUUUGGACACUCGUAAACAGGUGGUGCAUGGUUGUCGUCAGCUCGUGUCGUGAGAUGUUGGGUUAAGUCCCGCAACGAGCGCAACCCUCGUUCUAUGUUGCCAGCACGUAAUGGUGGGAACUCAUGGGAUACUGCCGGGGUCAACUCGGAGGAAGGUGGGGAUGACGUCAAAUCAUCAUACCCCUUAUGUCUUGGGCUUCACGCAUGCUACAAUGGCCGGUACAAAGGGCUGCAAUACCGUAAGGUGGAGCGAAUCCCAAAAAGCCGGUCCCAGUUCGGAUUGAGGUCUGCAACUCGACCUCAUGAAGUCGGAGUCGCUAGUAAUCGCAGAUCAGCAACGCUGCGGUGAAUACGUUCCCGGGUCUUGUACACACCGCCCGUCAAGUCAUGAAAGUCGGUAACACCUGAAGCCGGUGGCCCAACCCUUGUGGAGGGAGCCGUCGAAGGUGGGAUCGGUAAUUAGG
rnacentral:rRNA from 1 species